rnacentral:rRNA from 1 species
UCCAGAGGUCCCAAGCGUUGUUCGGAUUCACUGGGCGUAAAGGGUGCGUAGGCUGUGCUGUAAGUCAGGCGUGAAAGCCCCGGGCUCAACCUGGGAAUUGCGCUUGAUACUGCGGCGCUGGAAGGUGGGAGAGGAUGGCGGAAUUCCCAGUGUAGAGGUGAAAUUCGUAGAUAUUGGGAAGAACACCGGUGGCGAAGGCGGCCAUCUGGCCCACAUUUGACGCUGAGGCGCGAAAGCGUGGGGAGCAAACAGG